GCUGCGACCUUGAAAGUUGGAAUUUUUGGUGAUAUUGUUCUCAAAAUUGAAAUAUAUAUGUAGCGUGUAUCAGCUAACUAAUCAUACAUGGUAUUCUUUGCUGGUAUGAAUAUAGGCCGACAGAUCUCUGGGUCAGAAGCUAGCUUCUCGUCUCAAUGUGAGGCCAAGCAUUUGAAGGUGUCACUUGAACUGGAAUACUGGAUGCUUUUGACUUGCCAAGAGUGAGCGAGGAGUGAACACCAAGGGUGCAGCUAUGUGAAGAAUUUCGAUCCUAUGUUUGCUGUUGUAUAUUGUAAUAUAGACAAUAAACUUGCAUGUUAUGUGACUCUUUUCCUGUUGUUUCAAUUAAUAAAAGUCUGUUUUAUGAAGUUCAAUAUCGGAUCUAGAGUUGUUGAAUCAAUGUUUGCUGCUCUGGUUGCCUCAGUCUCCUAAUUAGUGAUCCUCUUCCAGUAGAAAGUUUCGCAAUUGCAAGAGUUUAUUGUAUUGCCAUUGUUUUGCAUCAGAAAACGAAUAGAUAGAUUCUUACUCACUGGUUGAAUGCUUGAACUGUCUUGUUCUGGAGUCUCGAUUGCUUUCAACUUUGUUAUGCUGCAGAUUAGAAUUCUGGAGAUCCGUUAUAAGUUUACCCUGCAAAGUGAUUUCAUUCUACUGUUCGUGAAUUCACAACUCUUCCUGCUCAAAAUUUCAUUUUGCCAUCUAUAGACAAAUGGGGUUUAUCAAGAGUCGUGUCUAGACGACAACUAAACCCUAGAUAUCUACGGUGCGCUCUCACUCUUUUCUUGCGUAGGCAUUCAUAUUAUAUGUUUUUAACUUUUUCAUAUCUGUGCAUUUGUAGUAAUUGAUUUGGUGUGUUUUGUGUUUAAAGUAAUAUUUAGAAGCUGUCAAGCUAGUUACAUAUCAGAAUUUUUUAUUUUUUUAUUUUGGUGGAAAAACUAAUCAAGUGGCAGCUUAAUUGAGUUCAAUACUCAUGAAGAGAUUGACAAAUAUAUAUAUAUUUUUUAAUAUUUUUGAGAAGACCAAAUGAAUGUUUGCAGCUGAACUUUGAAUGACUACAAAAUUUUCCGGACAUGGAUAAUUGCACAAAGACCAAAUUUUGCUUGAUGUAGGUGACGGGGAAAAGGAAAUCAAUAUAGUAAGUGUUCCUAAUUGCUGCUAAACCACUGUAAACAAGAGUUGAGUUAGUGAGAUUUAAAAUAUUGUGCUGGAUUUAACACAUUUCUUGUUUGUAAAAUUGAUUUGUUUAGUUGGGCUAUGAUCUUUUCUACGUCCAUGUCAUUAUUUAACCGUAAAGCAGAGCAGAAUAAUAUAGCAGCGGGGAAAAAUGAGGGAAGACACAUUGCUCUUUUGAUUUUGAAGCAAUGUAAAAUUCCUCCCAUUUGGAGUUCUAGCAAGUUGCAUACCAUAGGACAUAGUGAUUUAUGCAUGUUUGAUUUGGCAUUUCCCAAGUGGCUAUCAGUCAAGAUUUCUUUCUUUCAUUCUGCAGGAGAGAAGCUCCUGACACCUACCAUGGUGCCUUGAGAAGUGAAGGCUUUUGGGAAUUAGUUUGGUUCUGUGUAGAUGAGUUUGCACUGAUACUCAGGAAGUUAUGUUGACCUUCUCUAUAGCAUCAGAAAGGCACAAUGCCAAUAUAUUUCAUUUAGCUUAGAGAUUUGCUAGGAGAGCACAGUUGUUCAUUUGGUCUGUGGUUUUGUUUCAGAUAUACAAACCAAUGCUGCCAGUUUUCCAAAUACAAUUCCUGUGGGUUCAGGUGUUAGCUUUAAAGAAAGUGGAGCAAGGCAAUAACGUGAUGGUUUGUAACUAUCGCUGUUCAUUGGACUUGGUUUUGAUGGACUUCUUGGAACUUGGAUGUGUUUUCUGGUUUAUUUGAAUGAUACUAAUCACAGCAUGAUGAUAAAGAAUCCUCGUUUCUGUGAAAAAAUUAUCAGAAUCAGGAACUUGCUCAAAUCUUCAACAAUCUUUAUAUUCACAAAGCAAUUGUAAAAUUGCUAUGAAUCAUGAAUGGAUAUCAGGGAGGCUUUGUGAAACAAUAACAUGAUCCCAGGCAACAUCGAUUUUUUACCUGUUGGAUUCAUCAUGCUUAGCCACUUGUUUGAAAUAUUUAGAAGCACUCACGAACUCAAUAAGUAUGCCUGGGAACACAAGAAAUGCUCUUGCUUCAGCCUUAUUUGCAGUUCUUCCCAAAUGACAACCCAUUAUCAAACCAUGGACCGAUGCUGGAGGUAAGCUUUCAAUUUAUCCAAAAGUUCCAACAUUUAUGUUAGAUGUUGUGAGUGAAUCAUGUUUGCUUCUGAAUAUCAUAAACUGCGUGAUUGUAAAUAAUUGAAAAUUUUCUUAUAAAACUCCACAUGCUAGAUGAAUGUGCAGCCUAAUCCUACAAAGGCAUCGAUUGACCAUAACAUAUGCCGCAGUUCCCUUCUUACUUCCAUAGAGUCACUUUUCCUGAGGGUAUCCCUUGACCAUUAGGUUCGGAACACCAUUUUACAAGUUUGUAUUUUAUUUGUACUAUGGACCUCAGCUAAACUAGGGUGCAAAACUCGAGAGUAGAGUAUAUAAACUCUAAUAUAAACAUUCUUUUAGGAAGGAAAAUGAAAGGUUGUAGGUAAGGCUUUAGGCCACUAAAUUGUUUGCUUAGCAGUUUCAGCAUAAUACACACACACACAGGUACAUAUAUACACUUUUUUAAUGAUGUGUUGGCAUAUGUAUAUACAGAGUUCUUCUCUUACGAAGAUCUCCUCACAUUAUUAAAUUGAGGAUGUCACAAAUAUACAAAAAAAAUACCGAUUUUACUAUCAGAAUGAUAAAUAUACACACAAAAGAUUCCUUUAUUCUCUUUUGUAUAAUAAACAUUACAUUAUUAUACUAUAUGAUUUAAUCAUUUUUUUGUCUUUUAAUAUAGUUAGGAAAUGUUUAUCAAAUAAGUAAUAUAUAUAUAUAGAUAUAUAUGUGGAGAAAUAACAAGAUUUAGCAACCUCUACAUAGCAUAGUAAAUUUUAUUGAGAAAGAAAUGAAAAGAUCAUUGAUGGGUAGAAGAGAGAGAGAGAGAGAGAGAGGGCGGCGAAGCUGAACUUGAUAAUUGAUUUUUGAUACCCAUUUAAUUUAAGUUUUAAUGAAAACGAAACGCACUCAAUUAGGAAGAUACUAAUAUUCUAAUAGAAGAAUUCGCAAUUUGAAAUUAUUAUUAAUAGAUUAUUUAAAAAUUUAAAAAUAUUAUAAUUACAUAAAGUGGAUUGUAUAGAUGGUUCAACCAAUAAAACAUUAAAACUAUCAGUAAUGCUUGAUGAGACUUUACGGGAAUGUUAUCCACUUUCGCAUCAGAGUUUGAGAGAGGUUUUUGUUAAGCAGAAUAAUUUAUUGAUACACUGAAAAUAGUUUAGACAAUUAAAAAUAAUAUAUAUAUAUAUAUAUAUAUAUAUAUAUGGAAUCAGAUUACGGUGCAACUGUAGUACUGUACUACAGUUACAUUCAGUCGUUGGAUGCACUUAGAUUGGUGGGAUUCAUUAAUAUCCAACGGCUGAAUAUAACUAUAAUAUAAUAACACAAUUACACCACAGAUUUUCCCAUAUAUAUGAAUGUAUAUGAUAAUUUAUCAAUGCUCAGAAAUGAGAAAUGUAUGCAUUUAGAUCCCCCCAAAAAAAACAAAGAAGGUAUGCAUUAAAAAGUGGGUCCAAAAGAAGUCAGUCUUGUGGCAAAGCUCACCUCACCACACGCCCAUUUUACUCUUUGUCAAAAGCGUAAAUUAUACCGUUCACAUUGUAAAUUAGCAGCUUUCAUUUCGCGCACACACUCGCACAGCUCUUCGAGUCUAUCUCUUGACACUUUUCUAAUGAUAUAGCACACGUCUCAAUGCUCUUCUGGAGACGUGGCGUCACCAAGCUGGUCCAUGUCAUCUUCAGCCCAUAAGUGGUUACGAAUUCUUUGUAGUAAACUUCCAAAACACUGGAUAAGGAACCUUGAAAUCCUGACGUUCGCAAAAUAUAUAUAUUUUUAUCUUUCGUCGCCUUAAAAAAGGAUAAUCAUCUCUGUUGUGGGUCCCACUCUUGCCUUGAAAGAAUCAAUAUCGGCGGAGAAUUAAAUUUAAUAUAACAUACCAUCUAAUCCACGAUAUUUUGUCCUAAAUUAUUCAGAAAUGUUUUUUUUAGAUUAUUUUAUAAUAUGAAAAAAAAAAUAGGCAUAACAUUUUAGUUUAUUUUGGCCUGCAAAUAUGUACUAUUCAAGGUCUUGCUCUUUUUCCUACAGCUCAGGUCUUCAGUUUGAAUUUCAAUAUAUGCAUGAUUUAGUAAUAAUAAAAAAUAUUUUUACAUGAAUGAUAAUAAAAUUAAAAAUUCUAGUAGAAAUUGAUAUGACCUAAAUUUAUUGGUUGGAUAAAAAUAUAAAAUAAUAAAAAUAAAUCAUAUUGGUUCAGAGUUAUUUAAUUUAACUAAUUGAAUUAUAUCAUAUUAGUCUGCACAAAAAAAAAUUAUAUAAGAAUUUGUAACUCUAUUAUUAUUAUUUUUUAUUUAACACAUUUGAAAAUAAAAAUAUUUGACAUAUUAUUUUUACUAAGACAUUUAUUAAUAUCGGCCAAUAAACUAAUAUAUAUAGAUUUUUUUAAAGCUUAUAAAUUAAAAAAACCUAUUAAUUAUUCUUUAGAUAUACUAAGAUUAUCCCAAAUACUUUAACUUGAAUGAAGUGAUAAUAUUGAAUGACUACUCUAGGUAUGUAAUAAAUAGCCUUAAAAUGCUAACAAAUAAAUAUCUUACACUUUUCUAAAAUAAAAAGAUAGGAUAAUGUUUGAAAAUUCUAGUAAUAUAGUAAUACUCGUUUUCUAUAAAUGUCUAUUAAACUAAGCUAAUUAGAGACUAGCAUAAUAAAAUUAAAUCUUUUUAUCCUUUUCAUAAGUAAAAAAAUUGAUUGUGCUGUUUCUAUACUAAAAUAAAAAUUAAGUAAUAUAACAUUCUUUUUUUCAGGUUGUUAAGGAUGAAUAAUAUUCUUUAAUUUUAAGUAAACAAGAAUAUAAAUGACUUUUAGUUGUUAUAUUAGAUUAGUUCCCCUAGUUUAUUAUAGUUAGCAUAGAAGGAGAGUGAAUGAAGAUUUUUUAACAUUGUUUUUAUUUUUUUUUUAAGUAGUAUUUAAAGAACCACCAAAAAUAAAAAAUAAAAGAAAGAAUAAUGAUCAAUUUAUACUAAUGGCGAGACGUGAUAUUGGCGAGAAAAUGAACACGUCGAAGCUUGUUUGUCUCAUUACGGAUUUUUCGUGUCGCUAUAGAUAGAAAAACGGGUGAGGCCUCUCUGACAUCUGAGGCUGGCAGAAAUUAGAAGCGCGAGCCACGAGAGUCUGUGUAUAUAAAUAAAUAAUAAGGCAGUAGUAUUGCAUUCGUGAUCACCGGCUUUUGGUUGCCACACAAUCCCCAUUUGUCUACUCUCUCUUUCUUUCUCGUAGUGUAGCUUCUCGUUCAAUCUUUUUUUCUGCUUCCCUCCCGCUAUGGAUCCAUACAAGGUACUAAUCCCAUCUGUCUAUUUGUUUUAACUCUUAAUUCAAUCGAUUGCUUUAUUGAGUUUCCAUCCCAAUAUCUAUAUUUGAUGGGUCAGGCUAUUUUAACUUGAAUUUUUGAAUGAUUGGAAUCUGUUUCGGUUUUCAUCAUCUGCUUUAUUAGAUAUUCAAUUUCUAAAUCAAAGCUAUGAUCUUCCCUUUUUUAUUUUUUUGGUUUGAAAAAUUUUACCGCGUAGUUAGGGUUUCCCCAAUGAUUUUGAGAAGAAGUUUUAAAUCUUUUCGCUUGUAUAUGUUUGGCUUCCAUUUAAAUAAAGAGACUUGUACUAAUAAUCCAAUAUUGUUUGUGUUUUUGUAUCAUGAUGAUACAGUUCCGCCCUGCCAGUUCUUUCAACGCCCCCUUCUUUACCACCAAUUCCGGCGCUCCGGUAUGGAACAACAACUCAUCAAUGACGAUUGGACCUAGAGGUAUCAACACGUUAUUGUUUAUUCACUGUUUUCUGUUUGGUAAUUGAUGUUGUUUAUUGUGCUAGGAGUUAGCAACUUGCCUUUUUCGGUUGUUGGAUUUGUGUUUGACUUAUUUGCCGUUCUCGAAUUAGAUUUAUGUAUAUUAUUCCUCAGCUGUUUUAUUAUUUUUGGUUAUUGCUUCUAUCGCAUAUCAAAGUCUCUGUUAAUUUGGUCAGCGGGGGCCAUUAUCAUCAUCUUUGUCAUUAUUCAUGUAGCCAGUGGAAGUAAAAUAAUCAGAAUAUGUGCUUUGAUGGAAUUAAUAAGUUAGAUCUAUUUUCAAAAGUAUUAAUCUUGAGGUAUAUUUUUUAGUGUCAAUCUACAAAACCAGAAUAUUUUUCCUUUCUCCAUCUGGCUUGGCAGAAAAUUUUAAUUCAUAAUAAGAUUCCUUAUUGGCUAGUCCUUUUUAUUUUUUUGCUUCACUUUGAUGGAUAUGGUUUAAACUUUUUAGUUCAGGGAUUUAAGUUGCUUCAAUUUGACAGGUCCAAUCCUCCUUGAGGAUUAUCAUCUAGUGGAGAAACUUGCAAAUUUUGAUAGGGAGCGGAUUCCAGAACGUGUUGUCCAUGCCAGGGGAGCCAGUGCUAAGGGUUUCUUUGAGGUCACCCAUGAUAUUUCUAACCUUACUUGUGCUGAUUUCCUUCGAGCCCCAGGGGUUCAGACGCCUGUCAUUGUCCGCUUCUCCACUGUUAUCCAUGAGCGUGGCAGCCCUGAAACCCUGAGAGAUCCUCGAGGAUUUGCGGUCAAGUUUUACACCAGAGAGGUGAGGGGCUUAUGUGAUACUUGUUUUAUUACUAAUGUGUAUUAGAUGGUAUGGUAUAUGUGGGGGUUCAUGGAGAUGAUCGUUUAGUUACAAAUGAUGCAUGUAUUUAGGGCAUAGGUACUUGUCGCUUUAAGUUGCUUUUGCAGAAAGAACAGGAGAUUUUUUUCUAUUUUGAUUAUGAUGCUUCAAAAAUUUUAUAAUUGUAAUGGUGAAAUAGGGAAAAUAAGAGUUCUUCAAUUGCUUCGGCAGAUUUUCCCAUGUGAUGUGGUUGCCAUAACAACUUUUCAUGUGUCUCCAAUCGUAUGUAAAUAUGUAAUCACUUAGUCAUGAAGGCUGCAUAGGUUCAGCAUUUCAUGUGUUUUAAGUCAUCUGAUAUUUUAUGACUCCAUUAAGGUGGACAAGUUGUAGGCUGUCAAGAAGUUAGCUCCCCUACUUGUUGAUAGGUUCUUACGCUGACCUUUUUGUCAUGUGAGUGCAGGGUAAUUUUGAUCUUGUGGGAAACAAUUUCCCUGUCUUUUUUGUCCGUGAUGGAAUGAAAUUCCCUGACAUGGUCCAUGCGCUUAAACCUAACCCAAAGUCUCACGUCCAAGAGAGCUGGAGGAUUGUUGACUUCUUCUCCCAUCAUCCUGAAAGCUUGCACAUGUUCUCCUUCUUGUUUGAUGAUGUGGGUGUCCCACAAGAUUACAGGCACAUGGAAGGAUCUGGUGUUAACACUUACAUGCUGAUCAAUAAGGCUGGGAAAGCACAUUAUGUGAAAUUUCAUUGGAAACCCACUUGUGGGGUUAAGUGUUUAUUGGAAGAUGAGGCAAUCAAGGUUGGAGGAGCCAACCACAGCCAUGCUACUCAAGAUCUUUAUGACUCAAUUGCAGCUGGAAACUAUCCUGAGUGGAAACUCUACAUCCAGAUUAUGGAUCCCGACCAUGAGGACAAAUUUGACUUUGACCCACUUGAUGUAACCAAGACCUGGCCUGAGGACAUCUUGCCCUUGCAACCUGUUGGCCGCUUGGUUUUGAACAAGAACAUUGAUAACUUCUUUGCAGAGAAUGAACAGCUUGCUUUCUGCCCUGCUAUUGUGGUUCCUGGCAUCUACUAUUCAAAUGAUAAGUUGCUCCAGACUCGAAUCUUCUCCUAUGCUGAUACUCAGAGGCACCGUCUAGGGCCGAACUAUCUUCAACUCCCAGUAAAUGCACCCAAAUGUGCUCAUCACAACAAUCAUUAUGACGGUUUCAUGAAUUUCAUGCACAGGGAUGAGGAGGUACUAAAAUAACUAAAGAAAAUACCGGUCACUUGCUAUUUUAAACUACUUGUAUCUCAACCGAAAUCAUGACGCAUGCCAUAAGAUAUUGCUGCCAUGUGUUAGUUGCCAAAAUGGUCUGCUGGUGUUGUGUGUUAAGAUUGCUUUCUAACUAGGUGCAAUAUGAUGAUUCUUUUUAGAUCGAUUACUUCCCUUCAAGGUAUGAUCCUGUCCGUCAUGCUGAGAUGCAUCCAACUCCUCCUGAAAUCUGCGGCGGAAGGCGCGAGAAGGUCAGAUCUCUACUUGGCUUUUCUUUUUUUCCUGAAAUAAUCUUAAUACAGAUUUGCAUGAAGGGGGAUACUUUGCAUUAUGUCUAUACUUGCUUAGUGACCGAGUGAGAUGUAUAUCUUGAUUCUGUGGAGUUUUUGAUAGAAUGGGUUUAAUACUAGACAACAGUGGAUGGAAGUAUUUUAUUUAUUUAUUUUUCAAAAUCUAAACUAGUUGAAUCUGUUGUGUUCAAUGCAGUGCAUAAUUCCAAAGGAAAACAACUUCAAACAACCUGGAGAGAGAUACCGAU
rnacentral:lncRNA from 1 species